UGAAAUAUCAUGCAAUGAUUGACUUUUAUUUAAUAUUCAAGUGCUUAUAGUAAAAUGUAGAAAGUUAAAUGAGACUUACCAAAUUUGCCUUUAGAUGCCUCUAUAAGGGCUCAUAUAAAAGCCUUUUGACAUUGACAUUAAAUAUUUUACAGUUGACUUAGCCAUGAUAUUUUAAUAUAUAAAUGUGUUUGUAAGGUGACAGCUUGACAUGUUAAUGUAAUUAUAUGUGGUGAGACUAUAAAAAAAGAAAAAAUUGUACAUAGGAGGGAUUGCAAUCACUAAAACAGGGGAUUAUGAAUAUAAGUGACAUCACAAUUCAGUUCGUUUAAGUCUUCUCUAAAAAAUAUACAGUACAACAUAUAACAAUAAAUCACGUCUGUUUAAAUGAGUUUUUGGGAGAAAUCUUGGAUAAUUUACACUGGUAAACUUUUUUUAACAAAUUUUAGACUAUGAAAUUAAAAUUUGACAAUAUUAUGAUGUAACUGUAUUUUACUCUUCAUUAUGAAGUAACAUGGCAGUUUAUCUACCUGAAGAUUCAUUGGAAGUCUGGUAUUAAUAAACAGGGACUGUCACUGAGAUAGCUUUAUGAUAGAAAGGCAAUUGUUUACAGUGAGUGCAAUAUUGUUGUUGAAUAAAAUAAAUAUGUUUUGGUGAUUGUAUUAGUUUUUAAGUGUUUUCUUAUUAUAGUGUGUGAUAACAUUGUGUGAGGGAAUUCGACGUUUGAUGUACCACUGUUCACUCCAGUGCAAUUUAUG
rnacentral:lncRNA from 1 species